rnacentral:lncRNA from 1 species
UCUGAUAAGCAAAAAAAAAAAGAAAGUAGUUCAUGGAUUUAGUUUACAUUUCCUUUUUAACAGGGAGGUUGGGUAGAGACUUCUUGGUUUGCUCAUGCCUGUAAUCCUAGCACUUUGGGAGGCUAAGGUAGGAAGAUCGCUUGAACUCAGGAAUUCAAGCCAACCUGGGCAACAUAGCAAGACCUCACCUCCACUAAAGGGAAAAAACAAUCCAUGUUCCUUUUCUUCCAACCCAACAGAUCUGUGGCUGGGCAGCAGCUGCUGAGCUCAACUACAAUUCCAGCCUGCUUUACAGUUAGGCUUGUCCACAGGACCAAGUUCUCAGUGACAGAGUAAGAGCAGGCCUGUGAUAGGAGCCUCUUCUGUACCUCGGCCUCCAAGCUGCUCAGAUCCAUAACCUGAGAAAGAAAGAGGGAUGGCACAUUUUAUGUGUUAACUUAAAUAUCUGGCUACAUCGCUCAGAUAUUUGAUUAGACACUAUUCUAGAUGUUUUUAUGAAGGUAUUGAUUAAUUGAUUGAUUGAUUGAGACAGUCUCACUCUGUUGCCCAGGCUGGAGUGCGGUGGCACAAUCUUGGCUCACUGCAACCUCCACCUCCCAGGUUCAAGUGAUUCUCGUGCCUCAGCCUCCCAAGUAGCUGGGAUUACAGGCAUGUGCCACCAUGCCUGGCUAAUUUUUGUAUUUUUAGUAGAGAUGGGGUUUCACCAUGUUGGCCAGGCUGGUCUCCUGACCUGAAGUGAUCUGCCCACCUUGGCUUCCCAAAGUGCUGGGAUUACAGGCCUGAGCUACCACAACCGGUGAAAGUACUUUUUAAGAUAAGAUUAGCAUUUAAAUCAGAAGAUUUUGAGUAAAGCAGAUUAUUCUCCACAAUGUGGGCAGAUCUCAUCCCAUCAGUUGAAGACCUUAAGAGAAAAGAGACUGACCUGCUCUGAGCAAGGAGGAAUUCUGCUGGCCAACUGCUUGUGAACUCCAACUUGUAAUAUCGGUCUCCAGCCUACCGGCUUACUCUGCAGAUUUUGGAUUUGCCAAGCCUCCACAACCGCAGAAGCCAAUUCCUUAAAAUGAAUCCCUUACAACAGUUCCCUAAAAUAAAUUCUUCAAAAUUCCUUAAAAUAAAUGUGUGUGCAUGUGUGUCUGUGUAUAUAUAUAGCCUAUGUAAUGUCUAAUAUAGAUCUAUAAUAUAUAUUAGAUAAAUAUACACAUACUUAUCAUAUAUAUAUGUGUGUGUGUGUGUGUGUUUCUCCUAUUGGUUCUGUUCUCUGGAGAACCUAAUACAGAAACAAAUCUGUUUAUUCUUCUAGCCUCUGUAUCAUCAGGCCUCUUUGUUAGAGCAGGUGAGCUUUACCCUAACUAAUUCAGAGGUUGAUUCGUUUUCAUGCAUGUAGAUACUUGUCAUUUAGCUUCUAUUAUCUGCCUGUAUUUUAAGGUUCUUUGUCUUAAAAUGUUAUGACUCCAGGAAUGUUAUAUAUUAAGUAUAUUAACCUUUUGACUAUUAUAUAUCUUGCAAACAUCUUGUAAUCAGUCACUUGUCUCUUUAUUUUAUUUGGAGCGGCUUUCAACCUAGAGCAGUGGUCCCCAAACCCGGGGCUGCAGACUAUUCCCUGUCUGUGGUUUGUUAAGAACCAGGCUACAUAGCAGAAGAUGAGUAGCAGGCGCGGGAGCAUGACCACCUGAGCUCCGCCUCCUGUCAGACCAGCAGCGACAUUAGAUUCUCAUAGGAGCACAAACCCUACUGUGAACUGUGCGUAUGAGGGAUCUAGGUUGCACAUUCCUUAAAAGACUCUUAAUGCCUGAUGAUCUGAGGUGGAACAGGUUCACCCUGAAACCAUCCCCCGCUCAGCCUGUGUCUGUGGAAAAAUUGUCUUCCAUGAAACUGGUCCCUGGUGCCAAAAAGGCUGGGGACUGCUGACCUACAAGAUAUAUUAGUUAUGACUCUUGGUGCAUACUCUUGACAGAAAUCCCACUCAACCUAGUAUAAUGCAGAGGACAGUUCACGGAGCAACUCAAAUAAUUGCCACUUUUACAAUAUUGAAGCUUCCUACGGGAAACAUAAUACAUCUCUCAAUUUAUGUCCUUUAAUACGAUUAAACAUUUUUCUUCAUGUAGGUUCUCCAGAAUUUUGGUUAUGCCUAUGCCUAGAUUAUUUAUGAUUGUUGUUGGUAUUGCAAAUGUCCUCUCCUAUUGAUUAUUUAAUGGUAUCUAUGGAAAGUAUUGAUUUUUGUGUAUUUGCUCUGUGCCCACUUGCCAUCUAACUGGUUGUUAUAUUUUAUUGAACCUUUCAAAGGAUAUGAAUUAUGCUGAUUUUAAUGUCUUCUUCUGAUUCCUGCAUUAUUAUCCUGUUUUCUCCAGCGUUCUGUCUACUUCUUCUGCAGGCUGUUGGUUUCCUUCAAAUGUCUGGGGAUUUUUGAUUGUCUGAUCCCAUUUGUAAAUGAACGUCCAGAGAGUGGUUUUCAAAGUGAGAUCCAUGGACCCCUAAGGGUUCUUAAGACUCUUUCUGGGUGUCUGCAAAGCCAAAACUAUUUAAUAGGAAUAAAAAAGACUUGUUUUUCCUAAUGGGUGUUCAGGUGCUCACUUCAGCAGCACAUAUACAAAUGGGUGUUCAGUGGAGUUUUCCAGAGUCUACAUGAUGUGUGUUAUCACUAUAGCUUGAAAGAAGGAGGUAUGAAAAUCCAGCUGUUGGCUGGGCAUGGCGGCUCCUGCCUGUAAUCUCAACACUUUGGGA